GACGAACGCUGGCGGCGUGCUUAACACAUGCAAGUCGAACGCUGAAGCUCAGCUUGCUGGGUGGAUGAGUGGCGAACGGGUGAGUAACACGUGAGUAACCUGCCCCCUUCUUUGGGAUAACGCCCGGAAACGGGUGCUAAUACUGGAUAUUCACUGAUUCUCGCAUGGGGGUUGGUGGAAAGGUUUUUUCUGGUGGGGGAUGGGCUCGCGGCCUAUCAGCUUGUUGGUGGGGUGAUGGCCUACCAAGGCUUUGACGGGUAGCCGGCCUGAGAGGGUGACCGGUCACAUUGGGACUGAGAUACGGCCCAGACUCCUACGGGAGGCAGCAGUGGGGAAUAUUGCACAAUGGGCGAAAGCCUGAUGCAGCGACGCCGCGUGAGGGAUGGAGGCCUGCGGGUUGUAAACCUCUUUCGCUCAUGGUCAAGCCGCAGCUUUGGGUUGUGGUGAGGGUAGUGGGUAAAGAAGCGCCGGCUAACUACGUG
rnacentral:rRNA from 1 species